GCGGGUGUGGUUCAAUGGUAGAACGGUGGCUUCCCAAGCCUCAAGUGAGGGUUCGAUUCCCUUCACCCGCU
rnacentral:tRNA from 1 species